GUGAGGAAUAUUGGUCAAUGGACGAGAGUCUGAACCAGCCAAGUCGCGUGAAGGAAGACGGUUCUAUGAAUUGUAAACUUCUUUUGUGCAGGAAUAAAGUGGGUUACGUGUAACCUUUUGUAUGUACUGUACGAAUAAGGAUCGGCUAACUCCGUGCCAGCAGCCGCGGUAAUACGGAGGAUCCAAGCGUUAUCCGGAUUUAUUGGGUUUAAAGGGUGCGUAGGUGGAUUGAUAAGUCAGCGGUGAAAGUUUGCAGCUUAACUGUAAAAUUGCCGUUGAAACUGUCGGUCUUGAGUGCAAAUGAGGUAGGCGGAAUGUGUUGUGUAGCGGUGAAAUGCUUAGAUAUAACACAGAACUCCGAUUGCGAAGGCAGCUUACUGGGAUGCAACUGACACUGAUGCACGAAAGCGUGGGUAUCAAACAGGAUUAGAAACCCCAGUAGUCC
rnacentral:rRNA from 1 species